UACGUAGGGGGCAAGCGUUGUCCGGAUUUAUUGGGCGUAAAGAGCGUGUAGGCGGUUUGGUAGGUCCGCUGUGAAAAACUCGAGGCUCAACCUCGAGACGCCGGUGGAAACCAUCAGGCUAGAGUCCGGAAGAGGAGAGUGGAAUUCCUGGUGUAGCGGUGAAAUGCGCAGAUAUCAGGAAGAACACCCGUGGCUAAGGCGGUUCUCUGGGCAUGUCCUGACGCUGAGGAGCGAAAGUGUGGGGAGCGAACAGG
rnacentral:rRNA from 1 species